rnacentral:rRNA from 1 species
GAUGAACGCUGGCGGCGUGCCUAAUACAUGCAAGUCGAGCGAACAGACGAGGAGCUUGCUCCUCUGACGUUAGCGGCGGACGGGUGAGUAACACGUGGAUAACCUACCUAUAAGACUGGGAUAACUUCGGGAAACCGGAGCUAAUACCGGAGAAUAUAUUGAACCGCAUGGUUCAAUAGUGAAAGACGGCUUUGCUGUCACUUAUAGAUGGAUCCGCGCCGCAUUAGCUAGGUGGUAAGGUAACGGCUUACCAAGGCAACGAUGCGUAGCCGAGCUGAGAGGGUGAUCGGCCACACUGGAACUGAGACACGGUCCAGACUCCUAAGGGAGGCAGCAGGUGGGAAUCAUCCGCAAUGGGCGAAAGGCUGACGGAGGAACGCCGCGUGAGUGAUGAAGGUCUUCGGAGCGUAAAACUCUGUUAGUAGGGAAGAACAAAUGUGUGAGUAACUAUGCACGUCUUGACGGUACCUAAUCAGAAAGGCACGGCUAACUACGUG